GCUCGCUGGCACACAUCAGAGCUGUAGAUCCCUCAUCGUCCUGCACAUUGACAUCAGCGCCACACUCCAGCAGGGCCCGCACCAUCUCCUGCCGCCCGUGGCUAACUGCCAACAUCAGCGCCGUCUGGCCUGCCUGCAGAGAGGACUACUGCUCACUAACCCGUAUCCAGCAGCAGCCCGACUACGCCAAAGUUGGAGUGGGAGACGCUGUAGUGAAGAGCUGUGUUGCCGUUGCCAUCUGUCAUGUUGACCACAUGUUCCAGCAGCACUGACGACACCUCAGAGAACGCCAUCAAAUAGUCUGAGACCCGUGGUGACUGAGCCAUCUUGGCGCUGGAGAUACGGAACCACUCGAGCUGGACAGUGUGGGUGCUGGAGAGCUGAAGGGUGGGAGUGGGAAGUCACAUAUAGUUACGCACUUUAAACAAUGGUUCACAACAGCACCUGAAACAGAACCAUCUCCUUGAGACAAAAGGUAAAAAUAACUAAAAAAAAUACAGUGUAUAGAGGCAGUCAAGACCAAGACUGUACUUGUCUCAAGUUCAUUGCAGCCUGACAUAUCACUGAAUGUUAAGGGAAGUUCUUUUACCAUCUGUUAUUAAACUUAGACUUACUUCCUGGGCC